GAAAGAACAGGCAGCCCCUGCUCUCCUACAGUGGCCACCUGCAGCACAUCCUUAACCUUAGCAGCCAAAGGGUGCUUGGCAAGGAACAGGGGUAACUCCUCGGAGUGGAGUACCUGUACUCGCAGACUGGCAGAGUGCUGCAGGAUGUCAGCGUGGACCCUGGCCUUCCGGAAGAGGCAGCCGCCGUCGCCCAGCUCGACGAGGAGGACGAGGGCUUUCAGGAGGAUGUGGACCCGACAAUCCACAUCCCUCAUGUCACUCAUAUGAGCGCCCCGUCCUCCAGCUCAGCGGCACCUCUGUCAGGGGAACCCGCUGACGCAUCCAGGUCUGGGCCAUCCAGUCCCACCGCCCCUGAAGACGGAAGCUCUCCUGAGGCCCCUGAUCGACACGGUUCUCCUCACCCUGACAACUCCUCUGAUUGAGGGGGAGACGCAAGGCCCUAAUGCAAUGCCUGGCUACCAGCAUGUCCGCAGGCUUGCCAGGGCCUUGGUGGGGGUGAGGAACCGUCAGGGGCUGUCGGACCGCAGGGUAGACGGUCUGGUGGCGCUGUGGCUGGCGCUUGAUCUACCCUGCCCGACACCAGGAGAGGAUCGU